rnacentral:tRNA from 1 species
GGGGAUGUGGCUCAGUGAUAGAGUUCUUGCCUUGCAUGCACACGGCCCUGGAUUUGAACUCCAGCAUCACAC